GAUGAACGCUGACAGAAUGCUUAACACAUGCAAGUCUUUGGCGAAGCUGUGCUUGCACAGCCUAGCCAAGGCGGACGGGUGAGUAACGCGUAAGGAACUUGCCCUGCAGUCAGGGAUAACAGACGGAAACGACUGAUAAGACCUGGUAAAGUCAGGCGGACUCAUGUCCAGCCUGAUGAAAAGAGAUGCUGCAGGAGAGCCUUGCGUCCUAUUAGCUUGUUGGUGGGGUAACGGCCCACCAAGGCGAUGAUAGGUAGCCGGCCUGAGAGGGUGGACGGCCACAAGGGGACUGAGAUACGGCCCUUACGCCUACGGGAGGCAGCAGGGGAGAAUAUUGGACAAUGGGGGCAACCCUGAUCCAGCAAUUCUGUGUGCACGAUGAAGUUUUUCGGAUUGUAAAGUGCUUUCAGCAGGGAAGAAAAAAAUGACGGUACCUGCAGAAGAAGCGACGGCUAAAUACGUG
rnacentral:rRNA from 1 species